rnacentral:rRNA from 1 species
GAUGAACGCUGGCGGCGUGCCUAAUACAUGCAAGUCGAGCGAACGGAUUGAGAGCUUGCUCUCAAGAAGUUAGCGGCGGACGGGUGAGUAACACGUGGGUAACCUGCCCAUAAGACUGGGAUAACACCGGGAAACCGGGGCUAAUACCGGAUAAUAUUUUGAACUGCAUGGUUCGAAAUUGAAAGGAGGCUUAGGCUGUCACUUAUGAAUGGAACCGCGUCGCAUUAGCUAGUUGGUGAGGUAACGGCUCACCAAGGCAACGAUGCGUAGCCGACCUGAGAGGGUGAUCGGCCACACUGGGACUGAGACACGGCCCAGACUCCUACGGGAGGCAGCAGUAGGGAAUCUUCCGCAAUGGACGAAAGUCUGACGGAGCAACGCCGCGUGAGUGAUGAAGGCUUUCGGGUCGUAAAACUCUGUUGUUAGGGAAGAACAAGUGCUAGUUGAAUAAGCUGGCACCUUGACGGUACCUAACCAGAAAGCCACGGCUAACUACAUGCCAGCCGCCGCAGUAAAAC